rnacentral:rRNA from 1 species
UGGGGAAUUUUGGACAAUGGGCGCAAGCCUGAUCCAGCAAUGCCGCGUGCAGGAUGAAGGCCUUCGGGUUGUAAACUGCUUUUGUACGGAACGAAAAGGCUCUGGAUAAUACCUGGGGCCCAUGACGGUACCGUAAGAAGAAGCACCGGCUAACUACGUGCCAGCAGCCGCGGUAAUACGUAGGGUGCGAGCGUUAAUCGGAAUUACUGGGCGUAAAGUGUGCGCAGGCGGCUGAGCAAGUCGAGUGUGAAAUCCCCGGGCUUAACUUGGGAAUUGCGCUCGAAACUACUUGGCUGGAGUAUGGCAGAGGAAGGUGGAAUUCCACGUGUAGCGGUGAAAUGCGUAGAGAUGUGGAGGAACACCGAUGGCGAAGGCAGCCUUCUGGGCCAAUACUGACGCUCAUGCACGAAAGCGUGGGGAGCAAA